rnacentral:rRNA from 1 species
ACGGCUCAGUAACACGUCGCUAAUCUGCCCUAAGGUCAGGGAUAACUACGGGAAACUGUGGCUAAUACCUGAUAAGGAACAAAUACUGGAAUGUAUUGUUCUCCAAACUCGAGCCUUAGGAUGAGGUGGCGGCCGAUUAGGUAGACGGUGGGGUAACGGCCCACCGUGCCGAUAAUCGGUACGGGUCAUGAGAGUGAGAGCCCGGAGACGGAAUCUGAGACAAGAUUCCGGGCCCUACGGGGCGCAGCAGGCGCGAAACCUUUACACUGCACGCCAGUGCGAUAAGGGGAUCCCAAGUGCGCAGGCAUAGAGCCUGCGCUUUUCUGAACCGUAGGGAGGUUCAGGAAGAAGGGCUGGGCAAGACCGGUGCCAGCCGCCGCGGUAAUACCGGCAGCCCAAGUGAUGGCCGAUUUUAUUGGGCCUAAAGCGUCCGUAGCUGGCCAGGCAAGUCUAUCGGGAAAUCUACCCGCUCAACGGGUAGGCGCCCGGUGGAAACUGCGUGGCUUGGGACCGGAAGGCGUGAAGGGUACGUCCGGGGUAGGAGUGAAAUCCCGUAAUCCUGGACGGACCGCCGAUGGCGAAAGCACUUCACGAGGACGGAUCCGACAGUGAGGGACGAAAGCUAGGGUCUCGAACCGGAUUAGAUACCCGGGUAGUCCUAGCCGUAAACGAUGCCUGUUAGGUGUGGCUCCCACUACGAGUGGGUGCUGUGCCGUA